UACGUAGGGUGCAAGCGUUAAUCGGAAUUACUGGGCGUAAAGCGUGCGCAGGCGGUUGUGUAAGUCAGAUGUGAAAUCCCCGGGCUCAACCUGGGAACUGCAUUUGUGACUGCACGGCUGGAGUGCGGCAGAGGGGGAUGGAAUUCCGCGUGUAGCAGUGAAAUGCGUAGAUAUGCGGAGGAACACCGAUGGCGAAGGCAAUCCCCUGGGCCUGUACUGACGCUCAUGCACGAAAGCGUGGGGAGCAAACAGG
rnacentral:rRNA from 1 species